rnacentral:lncRNA from 1 species
CUCGCGUUGGAGGAGCUUGCUCUGAGCUGCUGCCACCUGCUGGGCUGGAGCUGGAGCUGGAGCUGCGAAUUCGGAGUCCCGGUUCCCUGUGCCACCUGGCGAGCUCAGCAAACUAAAAGGGCCUAGGACUGGAGCUCUGGAUCUGACCGGAGCAAAGAGGAAGCACGCAAAUCCGGACAUGACGACGAGGAGGCAGUAGAGACCCAUCCUCAACUGUGCCCUUGUUGAGCUGCUUGAGGCAGAAGGCACAGACGAAGUGCUCGGGGUGGAACUUCUUGGCCAUGGCGGUGAUGCAGCGGCCGGUGAUGGGCUUCUGGCAGCCAGAACACAGCGAGCCGCGCCGCUCGUGGUAGUGCACCUCACAGUAGGGCUGCCCGUCGUGCUCGAAGAAGCUGCCGUUCACGAAUGGCGUGAAGCAUUCCUGCCAGGCGGAGAGAGGGGCUCAGGGAGCUGCCCCUCGGGCUAGAGCUGCACCCUGUGUGAUGGGGCCGAGGUGGGCAUAGUCGGCACGCUCGGAGUGACUCCUACUUGCUAGGCGUUUCCCAUGUGCCGUGUUGUCCUAAACGCUCAUUUUUCAUUUUUAUUUUAUUAAAUAAAUUUUUUUUGUAGA